rnacentral:rRNA from 1 species
UACGUAGGGCGCAAGCGUUGUCCGGAAUUAUUGGGCGUAAAGAGCUCGUAGGUGGCUUGUCGCGUCUGCCGUGAAAGCCCGUGGCUUAACUACGGGUCUGCGGUGGAUACGGGCAGGCUAGAGGCUGGUAGGGGCAAGCGGAAUUCCUGGUGUAGCGGUGAAAUGCGCAGAUAUCAGGAGGAACACCGGUGGCGAAGGCGGAUCUCUGGGCCUUACCUGACGCUCAGGUGCGAAAGCUAGGGGAGCGAACAGG